rnacentral:rRNA from 1 species
GAUGAACGCUGGCGGCGUGCCUAAUACAUGCAAGUCGAGCGAACAGACGAGGAGCUUACUCCUCUGACGUUAGCGGCGGACGGGUGAGUAACACGUGGAUAACCUACCUAUAAGACUGGGAUAACUUCGGGAAACCGGAGCUAAUACCGGAUAACAUGUUGAACCGCAUGGUUCAACAGUGAAAGACGGUCUUGCUGUCACUUAUAGAUGGAUCCGCGUCGCAUUAGCUAGUUGGUAAGGUAACGGCUUACCAAGGCAACGAUGCGUAGCCGACCUGAGAGGGUGAUCGGCCACACUGGAACUGAGACACGGUCCAGACUCCUACGGGAGGCAGCAGUAGGGAAUCUUCCGCAAUGGGCGAAAGCCUGACGGAGCAACGCCGCGUGAGUGAAGAAGGUCUUCGGAUCGUAAAACUCUGUUAUUAGGGAAGAACAAAUGUGUAAGUAACUAUGCACGUCUUGACGGUACCUAAUCAGAAAGCCACGACUAACUACGUG